CAUGAGGAUUGGGGGUGGUCCGGAGUGUCCGGGCCUGAGAAUUGCACCCCUCGAACUUGAUCCGAGUAAUGUCGGCGUAAGAAAAUCCGGAGGUCGCGCA
rnacentral:ncRNA from 2 species